AUUGAACGCUGGCGGCAGGCCUAACACAUGCAAGUCGAGCGGAUGAAGGGAGCUUGCUCCUGGAUUCAGCGGCGGACGGGUGAGUAAUGCCUAGGAAUCUGCCUGGUAGUGGGGGAUAACGUCCGGAAACGGGCGCUAAUACCGCAUACGUCCUGAGGGAGAAAGUGGGGGAUCUUCGGACCUCACGCUAUCAGAUGAGCCUAGGUCGGAUUAGCUAGUUGGUUGGGUAAAGGCCUACCAAGGCGACGAUCCGUAACAGGUCUGAGAGGAUGAUCAGUCACACUGGAACUGAGACACGGUCCAGACUCCUACGGGAGGCAGCAGUAGGGAAUAUUGGACAAUGGGCGUAAGCCUGAUCCAGCCAUGCCGCGUGAGUGAAGAAGGUCUUCGGAUUGUAAAGCACUGUAAGUUGGGAGGAAGGGCAGUAAGUUAAUACCUUGCUGUUUUGACGGUACCAACAGAAUAAGCACCGGCUAACUUCGUG
rnacentral:rRNA from 1 species